rnacentral:tRNA from 1 species
GCGCCCUUAGCUCAGUUGGAUAGAGCACGUGCCUUCUAAGCAUGUGGUCACAGGUUCUUAUGUAUGGUAAA